UUACUUUGGCAGAAUAGUGCAAUAAAUUUAGAAUUUAUGAAUGUAAUCAUCUUUACAGGUAAUA
rnacentral:tRNA from 1 species